rnacentral:rRNA from 1 species
CAGCCGCCACGGGAAAACAGAGGGUGCAAGCGUUAAUCGGAUUUACUGGGCGUAAAGGGCGCGUAGGUGGUUAUUUAAGUGAGAUGUGAAAUCCCCGGGCUUAACCUGGGAACUGCAUCUUAUACUGGGUAACUGGAGUGCAGUAGAGGGUAGUGGAAUUUCCGGUGUAGCGGUGAAAUGCGUAGAUAUCGGAAGGAACACCAGUGGCGAAGGCGGCUACCUGGACUGAGACUGACACUGAGGCACGAAAGCGUGGGGAGCAAACAGGAUUAGAUACCCGUGUAGUCCCUGUCUCUUAUAC